GGGAUCGUGGGGUAGCUUGGUAUCCUUCGGCGUUUGGGACGCCGUUACCCCGGUUCAAAUCCGGGCGAUCCCA
rnacentral:tRNA from 1 species